AUACGGAGGAUCCGAGCGUUAUCCGGAUUUAUUGGGUUUAAAGGGUGCGCAGGCGGACCGUUAAGUCAGGGGUGAAAAGUUGGGGCUCAACUCCAAUCGUGCCUUUGAUACUGGCGGACUAGAGUGCAGGGGACGUGACUGGAAUGUGAUGUGUAGCGGUGAAAUGCUUAGAUAUGUCACAGAACGCCGAUCGUGAAGACAGGUCACGAAUCUGCAACUGACGCUCAUGCACGAAAGCGUGGGGAUCAAACAGGAUUAGAUUCCCUGGUAGUCCACGCUGUAAACGAUGAUCACUCGUUGUUGGCCGGCGACGGUCAGUGGCUAAGCGAAAGCGAUAAGUGAUCCACCUGGGGAGUACGAUCGCAAGGUUGAAACUCAAAUGAAUUGACGGGG
rnacentral:rRNA from 1 species